rfam:Eucalyptus grandis cultivar BRASTZ1 unplaced genomic scaffold scaffold_2, whole genome shotgun sequence.
AUACAUACCUGGACGGGGUCGAAUGGGUGAUCAGGAAGGCCCAUGGCCUAGGCCAAGUAGCCUUCAUUGCACUCAACCGAAGGCGGACUCAGCCUAACAUCUCCAAAUCGGAGACUGUACGUCGUAAUUUGUGGUAGCUGGGGGACAGCGUACGCGCCGACCCCCU